rnacentral:misc_RNA from 1 species
GAAAUGCGAUAAUUAAUGUGAAUUGCAGAAUUCAGUGAAUCAUCGAGUCUUUGAACGCACAUUGCGCCCCCUGGUAUUCCGGGGGGCAUGCCUGUCCGAGUGUCAUUGCUGCCCUCAAGCACGGCUUGUGUGUUGGGCUUCCGUCCCUGGCAACGGGGACGGGCCCAAAAGGCAGUGGCGGCACCAUGUCUGGUCCUCGAGCGUAUGGGGCUUUGUCACCCGCUCCCGUAGGUCCAGCUGGCAGCUAGCCUCGCAACCAAUCUUUUUAACCAGGUUGACCUCGGAUCAGGUAGGGAUACCCGCUGAACUUAAGC